CCCUUAGAUGUUCUGGGCCGCACGCGCGCUACACUGAUGCAUUCAACGAGUCUAAAACCUGCUCUGAUAGGGGUGGGUAAUCUUUUGAAUGUGCAUCGUGAUUGGGAUAGAUGAUUGCAAUUUUUCAUCUUCAACGAGGAAUGCCUAGUAAACGCAAGUCAUCAGCUUGCAUUGAUUACGUCCCUGCCCUUUGUACACACCGCCCGUCGCUCCUACCGAUUGAAUGAUCCGAUGAGUAUCAUGGAUUGAGGAUUAUAGCAGGUUCGCCUGUCUUGAUCUUCGAGAAGUGAAGUAAAUCUUAUCAUUUAGAGGAAGGAGAAGUCGUAACA
rnacentral:rRNA from 1 species